rnacentral:rRNA from 1 species
GAUGAACGCUGGCGGCGUGCCUAAUACAUGCAAGUCGAACGAGUUCUCGUUGAUGAUCGGUGCUUGCACCGAGAUUCAACAUGGAACGAGUGGCGGACGGGUGAGUAACACGUGGGUAACCUGCCCUUAAGUGGGGGAUAACAUUUGGAAACAGAUGCUAAUACCGCAUAGAUCCAAGAACCGCAUGGUUCUUGGCUGAAAGAUGGCGUAAGCUAUCGCUUUUGGAUGGACCCGCGGCGUAUUAGCUAGUUGGUGAGGUAAUGGCUCACCAAGGCGAUGAUACGUAGCCGAACUGAGAGGUUGAUCGGCCACAUUGGGACUGAGACACGGCCCAAACUCCUACGGGAGGCAGCAGUAGGGAAUCUUCCACAAUGGACGCAAGUCUGAUGGAGCAACGCCGCGUGAGUGAAGAAGGCUUUCGGGUCGUAAAACUCUGUUGUUAGAGAAGAAUGGUCGGCAGAGUAACUGUUGUCGGCGUGACGGUAUCCAACCAGAAAGCCACGGCUAACUACGUGCCAGCAGCCGCGGUAAUACGUAGGUGGCAAGCGUUAUCCGGAUUUAUUGGGCGUAAAGCGAGCGCAGGCGGUUUUUUAAGUCUGAUGUGAAAGCCCUCGGCUUAACCGAGGAAGCGCAUCGGAAACUGGGAAACUUGAGUGCAGAAGAGGACAGUGGAACUCCAUGUGUAGCGGUGAAAUGCGUAGAUAUAUGGAAGAACACCAGUGGCGAAGGCGGCUGUCUGGUCUGUAACUGACGCUGAGGCUCGAAAGCAUGGGUAGCGAACAGGAUUAGAUACCCUGGUAGUCCAUGCCGUAAACGAUGAAUGCUAGGUGUUGGAGGGUUUCCGCCCUUCAGUGCCGCAGCUAACGCAUUAAGCAUUCCGCCUGGGGAGUACGACCGCAAGGUUGAAACUCAAAGGAAUUGACGGGGGCCCGCACAAGCGGUGGAGCAUGUGGUUUAAUUCGAAGCAACGCGAAGAACCUUACCAGGUCUUGACAUCUUUUGAUCACCUGAGAGAUCAGGUUUCCCCUUCGGGGGCAAAAUGACAGGUGGUGCAUGGUUGUCGUCAGCUCGUGUCGUGAGAUGUUGGGUUAAGUCCCGCAACGAGCGCAACCCUUAUGACUAGUUGCCAGCAUUUAGUUGGGCACUCUAGUAAGACUGCCGGUGACAAACCGGAGGAAGGUGGGGAUGACGUCAAAUCAUCAUGCCCCUUAUGACCUGGGCUACACACGUGCUACAAUGGAUGGUACAACGAGUUGCGAGACCGCGAGGUCAAGCUAAUCUCUUAAAGCCAUUCUCAGUUCGGACUGUAGGCUGCAACUCGCCUACACGAAGUCGGAAUCGCUAGUAAUCGCGGAUCAGCACGCCGCGGUGAAUACGUUCCCGGGCCUUGUACACACCGCCCGUCACACCAUGAGAGUUUGUAACACCCGAAGCCGGUGGCGUAACCCUUUUAGGGAGCGAGCCGUCUAAGGUGGGACAAAUGAUUAGGGUG